AUUUGAGUUACAUUGAGUUUGUUUCUAGUGAUUUUUCAUUUCAAUUUGUGUUCAUCUUUUCUCUUAAUUAUGUCUUCUAAUGGUGAUCAAAUGGCCAACGGAUCUGGUGACGAAGUUGAUGGAAGACCACAACAGCGAAAACCUGAAGGACCAACUGACCCGCCUGCAGGAAGAGGUGGUAGAAGGGAAGUUGACGGGCCAGCCCCUGUUUGGGAUGAUGAUCCUAAUCAUCCUGGUAACCUAGCGGUUGCGGGAAUCGCAGCAGAAGCUAGUAGAAUAGUUUUUAUACCCAAGAGAUCACCGCAUGACAUUAACCUCGCAGACCAUAUACGCAAUGAUAGAAAUGAUAGAGAUGAUGAAGAUGAUGAAGAUGAUAGAGAUGAUAGAAAUGCAAGAAGUGCAAGAAAUGCAAGAAAUGCAAGAAACCGAUAGCUGAAUCCGAAUCAAAUACCAGUCAAAUUAUACAACAGUCGUUCGUGUAAUCUUUUACCUUCUUGGUUUACUUUGUAUUUGCAACUCCUUA
rnacentral:lncRNA from 1 species